UGGGGAAUAUUGCACAAUGGGCGAAAGCCUGAUGCAGCGACGCCGCGUGAGGGAUGACGGCCUUCGGGUUGUAAACCUCUUUCAGCAGGGACGAAGCGCAAGUGACGGUACCUGCAGAAGAAGCACCGGCUAACUACGUGCCAGCAGCCGCGGUAAUACGUAGGGUGCAAGCGUUGUCCGGAAUUACUGGGCGUAAAGAGUUCGUAGGCGGUUUGUCGCGUCGUUUGUGAAAACCAGCAGCUCAACUGCUGGCUUGCAGGCGAUACGGGCAGACUUGAGUACUGCGGGGGAGACUGGAAUUCCUGGUGUAGCGGUGAAAUGCGCAGAUAUCAGGAGGAACACCGGUGGCGAAGGCGGGUCUCUGGGCAGUAACUGACGCUGAGGAACGAAAGCGUGGGUAGCGAACAGG
rnacentral:rRNA from 1 species